UGAUACAGUCCCAGUAUCAUUAUGUGUCAUGAUAUACUAAGAUAUGAAUUAGAAUAUCAUUACACCCUUAUUUUUCAUUAGCAUGUUAUCAAUAAGCAAACAUAUUUUUUCUAAUAGUAUUCUCAGUUGUCUUUAUAGAGCUUCCUUAAAUUCCCAUAUACUGCUGUUGAUCCAUAUACAAAUGGACCUGGUACUAACUGUACAGAAAUAUUAUGCACAAAGUGAUGACUUUAGUUAAUAAUACUAUGCAUGGGGCAAAGUAUAAUAAGUGCUCAUGCAAAUGUUCAUUUAAUUUUAUUUUGCAUUACAGAUGGAUAUGACAAACUUAAGCCAUAUGGAAUUAGUAUUCAUGGCUGUAUUGAUGGAUUUUCUCGGAGGUUAAUAUGGCUUGAGGCAGAUAUAACAAACAAGAGACCUGAGGUUAUUGCUGAACAUUAUUUGAAUGCUGUACAUGAUCUGAAAGGUUGUCCUCAAAAAUUAAGAGCUGAUCCAGGCACUGAAAAUGGAAUUAUUUCCACUUUUCAUGCUUUUCUCAAAAGAAAUCGUAAUGCAGUAACUCUGGGAAG